AGAACGAACGCUGGCGGCAUGCUUAACACGUGCAAGUCGAACGAGACCUUCGGGUCUAGUGGCGCACGGGUGCGUAACGCGUGGGAAUCUGCCCUUAGGUACGGAAUAACUCAGAGAAAUUUGUGCUAAUACCGUAUGAUGUCGAAAGACCAAAGAUUUAUCGCCUAAGGAUGAGCCCGCGUAAGAUUAGCUUGUUGGUGAGGUAAAAGCUCACCAAGGCGACGAUCUUUAGCUGGUCUGAGAGGAUGAUCAGCCACACUGGGACUGAGACACGGCCCAGACUCCUACGGGAGCAGCAGGUGGGAAUAGUUGGACAAGUGGGACGAAACGCC
rnacentral:rRNA from 1 species